CCUACGGGAGGCAGCAGUGAGGAAUAUUGGUCAAUGGGCGCGAGCCUGAACCAGCCAAGUAGCGUGAAGGAUGACUGCCCUACGGGUUGUAAACCUCUUUUAUAAAGGAAUAAAGUGAGGCACGUGUGCCUUUUUGUAUGUACCAUGUGAAUAAGGAUCGGCCAACUCCGUGCCAGCAGCCGCGGUAAUACGGAGGAUCUGAGCGUUAUCCGGAUUUAUUGGGUGUAAAGGGAGCGUAGGUGGAUUGUUAAGUCAGUUGUGAAAGUUUUCGGCUCAACCGUAAAAUUGCAGUUGAAACUGGCAGUCUUGAGUACAGUAGAGGUGAGCGGAAUUCGUGGUGUAGCGGUGAAAUGCUUAGAUAUCACGAAGAACUCCGAUUGCGAAGGCAGCUCACUGGACUGCAACUGACGCUGAGGCUCGAAAGUGUGGGUAUCAAACAGGAUUAGAUACCCCUGUAGUC
rnacentral:rRNA from 1 species